rnacentral:rRNA from 1 species
UACGUAGGGUGCAAGCGUUGUCCGGAAUUAUUGGGCGUAAAGAGCUCGUAGGCGGCUUGUCACGUCGACUGUGAAAACCCGGGGCUCAACUCCGGGCCUGCAGUCGAUACGGGCUGGCUUGAGUGCGGUAGGGGAGACUGGAAUUCCUGGUGUAGCGGUGGAAUGCGCAGAUAUCAGGAAGAACACCCGUGGCGAAGGCGGCUCUCUGGGACGGUACUGACGCUGAGACGCGAAAGCGUGGGGAGCGAACAGG